rnacentral:rRNA from 1 species
AUUGAACGCUGGCGGCAGGCCUAACACAUGCAAGUCGAGCGGAGCGGCGGACGGGUGAGUAAUGCCUAGGAAUCUGCCUGGUAGUGGGGGAUAACGUCCGGAAACGGGCGCUAAUACCGCAUACUAUCAGAUGAGCCUAGGUCGGAUUAGCUAGUUGGUGGGGUAAAGGCCAACCAAGGCGACGAUCCGUGACUGGUCUGAGAGGAUGUUCAGUCACACUGGAACUAGAACAGGGUCCAGACUCCUCCGGGGGGAGGAAGUGGGGAAUAUUGGACAAUGGGGGAAAUCCUGAUGCAGCCAGGCGGCGUGUGUAAGGAAGUUCUUCGGAUGGUAAAGCACUUUAAGUUGGAAGGCGUUACCAACAGAAUAAGCACCGGCUAACUUCGUGCCAGCAGCCGCGGUAAUAC